CCGCACCACGUGGGCCAGGCGCCCCACGCCUGGAGCUCCCCUCUCUGGAGCCCCGGGAAGGGAAGCGGGGCAGGGAGGCCGGGUGGGAGCAGGGGGGUCUCCGGCGCUUCCUCUCCUCUGCGGGCGCCGCGCGGCUCCUGGGAGUCCGCCCCCCGUCCUGACGCUCAGCUAGGAAGCGGGUCCUCGGGCCCCUCCCCCGACACACACACACACUCUCUCUCUCUCUCUCUCUCACACACACACACACACACACACACACACACACAGCCCGUCUCGCGCCUGAGGUCUCGCCCGCAGGCCGGUGGCGCGGGGUCAGCUGCUGCGUGCGGUCCAGGACAGGGUCGGUUCCGCCGCGCAGCGCCCAGGCCCAGCUCGUCCAGAGUCUGCGGACAGCGCACGUCCAGGUAACGCGCGCCAAGGGGCCGCGGCUCGGAGCUGGGGGACCCCGGGCCGCCCUCCCCAUACGAGUGCGAGCGUGGAGAGCGCGGGCGGGGGCGCGGUCCCGGGGGCCGGGCAGCUGGAGGGGGCGGGAGCGCUGGGCGGGGCCUGCGCUGACCCCGGCGCUGAGUCCCUGGGGCCGCCGGGCGGAUGGCGUGGCCGGACGCGGGGGCCCCGGGCCUUCCGGGCGUGACCCAGGGCUCGGGGGCGGGGAGGCCCCUCCGGCGGGGCGGCCCUGGGUGGUCCGGCGGAGGCGGAGGCCGCUCCGAGCCUGUGAGCCCUGGGCGCCUGCGGAGGCGGGGAGAGGGCGGGGUGUGCCGCCCUGGUGGGGACCGCGGGGUCGGAGAGGGGACAUUGCCCCCCCGAGGCGAACGUCCAACCGCGGGUCCGGGUCCCCGCCCAAGGCCGCCCCCGCGAGGUGGCCUCGGCCCGGCCGUCCCCGAGGGUGGCUCGGAUCCUUUCAACCAGCGCGCUGGAGGCGAAGGGGCUGCGCCAUUCCGGGUCAGGCAGCCAACGCGGGACACGCGCGUCUCCGAGCUUGCGGCCCGCGAAACCCGGGUGACCUACCGCGCCGGUGCCCUCAAAGCCCCCACGCCCGGGCCGGUGGCCGCUGCAGCCACUGAGCCACGCCGUCUCCCCGGCCCGAUCGGCAGAAGGAGCUGGUCCGUUACUAGAAAAGUCCAGAUGCAAAGUCGGGGGUCGUGCUGCCGCUUCCUGCCAGCGCACCGCACCCACCUGGGGCCGCCACCGACCGCACAGGACGCGCCUCCUACCCCCUGUUCUGGCCCGGCCGAGAGCUGGUGCCCCCAGCGGCCGCCCGCCCCCGUCCGCAGACCCCGGGGCCCUUGCUGCUUUGCAUUGGGAACAACCGGAGCCAGGCCCGGAGCUGAGGGGGCCAGGGCCCUUGGAGGAAGCAUUGGUCUCCAGGCUGAAGAGCAAGGGCCGUGUCACCUGCCGGGAGGGCGGUCUCAUCUCUGCAGCCAGGUCAGAGGAAGCAGCGGUGGGGAGACGGAGUGCGCGUUGGGAGGCUCCACGCAUCGUAGGUGGAGAGCUGGCUGCCGGCCUGGCCUGCCCUCUCUUCCCCGUCCCACCGUCUCGCUUGGCUCUGGCACCUGCCUGGGAAGACCCAGACCUCCGUCUGCAGUGCCCCUUCCCCCUGGAGGCCCUGCCCUCCGCUCGGGGUCCCCGCAUCCUUCCGUGGCCCUCAGAGCAUCGCCUGGGGCGCCCGCGGAACUCAUCUGUUAGGCCUGGGAUGCAGGCAGGCAGAAGUGGGGGUUUAAGUGGAAGCAGUGAGGGUGGGGGCCCGGCCCAAACUGUGCCACCUUCCACCCCCUGCCCCUGGGAGAAUAGACAUCGCCCACUCGGGCUCACAGUGCCAUCCGGGUGAGGACCUCCAUGGAGAGCUUCUCUUUGCCAAAGAAAAGGAGUUGCAUUAGGUCUGCGAGCAGGCAGGGUGGCCUCUUCCUGGCUCCCCAUCCACCAAGGAAGCUUCAAGUUCCUGGGACACAGGUGGGGAACUCCAGCACCCCUGGAGGAAGGAAGACUGAGGUUGGGGGGUGGCAUCCAGGCCCUGACUCUGGGGCACGGUGGUCUGUGCAACCGAGACCCUGCCUCAGGCUCCAACAGCGCCUGCUCCUUUCCUCAGGUUGCAGUGACCACCAGGGGAGGUGCCGGGCGUGCAGGCUGCCACAGGAGGGGUGGGGAGGUGGGGAGUCUCUGCGGCAGGGUGGUGGGGGCCUAGGCCAGUCAGCUGAGGACGUGUCGGUGCACUCCCGGGAGGGCGGUAUGUGGGUGAGGAUCCCCAUGCAGAGUGGUGCCCACAAACCCCCCUUCCAGAGUCAUCUCUGGUCCACCUUGAAGUCCCCAGGAAAAUGACCUCGUCCUCCGCGGGUGUGAGCCACUAGGCCUGAGAGGAUGCUGGGACGGAGCUUUCAGAGAGGGAGGUGUCAGGAUGGUUUGAGUGUCACCAGCCCAGACGUCCUCCUGGUCCUCCUGAUGCCCCCGACCUCCAUGGAGGACGAGCAUUUCCAGCCCAGCCCUCCCCGUCUUCACCUCGCACUGCCCUGACACACUGGGAGCCUCCUGAUCCGUGAACCCGCGCUGGCGGGAGUAGCUACUGACCGCUGGGGACCCCUGCCCAGGCUGUUCGCAUGUGGAAAGGAUUCAGGGAGCAGGCGAUGCCCAAAGCGUGGAGACCAGCACUGCUCUCUCCCCAGCGACAGUAUAGCUGUGCCGUGUACAGGAGGGUGCUGUCUGACGCCAGACACCUGGACUACAGAUCGCAGCCCGAUUCCUGGUCAUUGCUCCACUGAACCCCAGACCCCAGCCUCAUUCUGGGCCCUCAUCCCCUAGAUCCAGGGACCCCAGCCCCAUUUCAGCCCUUGGGCCCUUGUAGGAUGCGAGGCCCUGGGCCCCAGCCCCCAGCCCAUCCGUGGCCCAGGCACUGGGGGGCUGAGGUCCUCUGAGAAGGGACACAGGGCCUGGGGGGCUGUCUCAGCCCAUCAGCAGGAGAGGACUGACUCCAGAAAAAUCAGCGUUUGUACCCACUCAGGCUGCCAAGACCUGUGUCCGUCCUUCCAAGCUCAACCUUCAGAGUUCAUGAGGCCCCUUGCCCAGAAUGUCCACAGAGUUCAUGAGGCCCCUUGAAUGUCCACAGAGUUCAUGAGGCUCCUUGCCUGGAAUAUCCACGUUUGAAACCUCCCAACACCGAGCCCCAUUUCAAGUAUAACCAGGAGGGAAAAUGGUGCUUGAAAUAAGCAUGCCGCAAAGGAAAACCUGCUUUCUCGAAAUGGGCCCUGGCCGCCCAGGCCCUGACCUCCCCGGCCAGGAUGGAACGUUCCAGAGACCCAUUAGUGCCAAAGGCAAAUGAAAACACACCCUGUGAAAAUGUC
rnacentral:lncRNA from 1 species